rnacentral:rRNA from 1 species
GAUGAACGCUGGCGGCGUGCCUAACACAUGCAAGUCGAACGAGAUGCGUAUUGGAAAGCUUCGGCCGGAAGAUGCGUUAUCUAGUGGCGGACGGGUGAGUAACACGUGGGUAACCUGCCUUAUGGAGGGGGAUAACAGAGAGAAAUCACUGCUAAUACCGCAUAAGCACACAGUACCGCAUGGUAGAGUGUGAAAAGAUUUAUCGCCAUAAGAUGGACCCGCGUCUGAUUAGCCAGUUGGCAGGGUAAAAGCCUACCAAAGCGACGAUCAGUAGCCGAUCUGAGAGGAUGACCGGCCACAUUGGGACUGAGACACGGCCCAAACUCCUACGGGAGGCAGCAGUGGGGAAUAUUGCACAAUGGGGGAAACCCUGAUGCAGCGACGCCGCGUGAGUGAAGAAGUAUUUCGGUAUGUAAAGCUCUAUCAGCAGGGAAGAUAAUG